rnacentral:lncRNA from 1 species
GGGGGAAAUGAUAGACUCAUUACCUCUGGUCUCAGCAUAGUUAGUGGGGUGCUUGCUUUGGAUGCAGGAAUACAAAAAACUCCUCAGAACCUGCUAUUUUAGGCACAGUGAAACACUUUUUAUGGAUGAUAGUCACCUAACAGUAGGAUUAGUCAGUGUGUUGUAUGGCUAACUAAACUAGAUCCCUUUUCUUGUUUCCUUUACAAUCUUUUCCCUGUUACUCUUCCUCUCCCCUCUCUGCCAUAGGGUGGUUUUUUUCUACUGCAUGUUUAAUAGCUCCCUAAAUUUCUAAUUUUGGUUCUCCUCAGCUCUGCCAUCUGUCCCACAGUCUUUCCAUGUUUCUUUUAUAUCACCUGUCAUCCAGAUCAAUUGUUGCUCUGCCACCACCCCUCAGUAAUAUACUGCACUUCCCUCCCCUUCAUUUAGGCACACCCGAUUCUUUCUCCGACCUUGGCAGAUGCUGAGGACAGCCUUUGAAAGCUUUAGGAGAGGUGCGAGUGCCUACUCAGCACAGAAGGCACACCCCACCUCCCAGCAGGAGAAGUCUGCCAAGCGCAAGAGCUGUCUCAGAUUAAAGAAAAUCCAGAUGGGGUGCAGGUGCUGCAAAAUGAUACAAAGGUACAACAGAACAAAAAAAUGCUUAGCCUGAAUAAAAGAAAAGCAUUAAAAGAUACGUCUGUGCUCCUCUGUAUUUGUUGCUUAAAUUAAGACUUUACCAGCUUGGAAUUAUCUCAAAAUUUACAAUUUUUUCAAAGUCAUGGCAGAGCACAGGUAUUCUGAUUUCCUAUGAACAUCCUUUUGAUUUACUGUAAUGACGGUUCAUUUCUGUAAUUCCUAACCCCCAGAAAAGCUGUGUGGCAUUCAGAAUUUGUCUUUACCAAAGUUUUUUCCCCACCUAGGUAGCAUGAGCUUGCCUCAACUCAGUAGAGUAAGAAGAAUAGACUUUGUCAGAUCCUCCCUCUCCCCUAAACACUGAAAAUGAGCUACAGAUCCUUACUUCCAUCAUAGCUUUUAAAUGUAGUUAGUUGUGAGAACAACUCCCACAUUAAAAGUCUCUCUCAGUAGAAGUUUGCCAGCUCUAGAAAGACAACGCUUCAGCCCCACUUGAUGAUUGCUCCUGACCACAUCUCUAAAGCAGGUAAGGAAACAGGAAAAAAAGCUGGUGAUAUGGAAGAGGAGAGAGAAAGAGAAGCAAGAGAGGCUUUGAAAGAAACAUGUCAAGGAAAAAUUAGCAGAGGGAGAAAAACAAGUUGAAAAAAAGGAAAGAGGAGAGGACAAAAAUAUAAAAAGAAAAGGACAAAGAGACAAGACUUGAGAGGAAGAGUACUAGAUAAAAAAGGCAGACUUAUUUUAGCAGUAACAGUAACAUCAGGACACAUUAAAUAAACAAUCUGUAUGAUGACUACUUAUUGGCUAA